UGUGGAAGACCCAGGGUUUUUCCAUUUGCCUGGGGAGACAAACUCAUGGGCACAUAAUUAUGAUGUAGUGGGUGAAGUUUUACUGCAUUGUGUUCAAAAGUACCAUGAGGAAACCAGCAAGUGAAGUCCCAGAAGCUGAGGUGGGGUCAGGGUGUCAGGAAUAUCCUACAGAGGUGGUGUCUGAGCUGAGCUUUGGAGGAAGCAAAUGGAUGUAUCAGGCUCAGCACUCAGGGACUCUUAGAGAUGGAAGUGACCUACAGUCAUUAUUGACACUAACCUGUCUGAGAAGUUUCAUCUAUAUCCUCUCUGUCUAAAGGGUGGUCCAGGAACAGCAAGCAUCAGCAUCACCUGGAAGCUCACUGACAAUGGAGAAUCUCAGCUGCACCUCAGACCUAAAGAACCAGAAUCUGCAUUUUAACAAGACUUCCACGUGAUUCACCAACAACUGGAGUUUGUGAAGCGUUGUUCUCCUUCAGCUCUGACAGUUGCCACCCACUUCCCUGGAAGAGAGCCAGCUCUUCAAAAUUUUUCUACUCAUUAGCCAUCAUGAGCUUUCUGAAGCAUGAGCUAUCUGAAGCAGCAUGUAGUAUGUCAGCCCCCUCUUCUCCACACAAAACACUUAAUUGA